AAGAAAGGUUCAACUCUGUGAGUUGAAUACACACAACACAAAGAAGUUACUGAAAAUUCUUCUGUCUAGCAAUACAUGGAGAAAUCCCUUUUCCAAGGAAAGUGUCAAAAAGGUCCAAAUAUCCACUUGCAGAUAUUCCAAACAGAGUGUUUCCAAACUGCUCUAUGAAAAGAAAGGUUAAACUCUGUGAGUUGAAAGCACACAACACAAAGUAGUUUCUGAGAAUGAUACUGUCUAGUUUUUAUACGAAGAUAUUUCCUUUUCUACCAUUGGCCUCAAA
rnacentral:lncRNA from 10 species